AUCAACAGUUUUUUGUCUAUAUUGUUGUGUAAUUUGUUGCUUGAGCAUGUUGUAGACAGUACCGCCAUUGCCAUUGUAAUGCAGUAUGUUGGAAGGUAAAAUCGUUGUUUUUUUUUCAGUUUGUUUGU